rnacentral:piRNA from 1 species
UACAAGACUGUCAACUUAGUCAUGGGAACA